GACGUAGGGCGCGAGCGUUGUCCGGAUUUAUUGGGCGUAAAGAGCUCGUAGGUGGUUUGUCGCGUUGUCCGUGAAAACUCACAACUCAAUUGUGGGCGUGCGGGCGAUACGGGCAGACUGGAGUACUGCAGGGGAGACUGGAAUUCCUGGUGUAGCGGUGGAAUGCGCAGAUAUCGGGAGGAACACCGGUGGCGAAGGCGGGUCUCUGGGCCGAUACUGGACGCUGAGGAGCGAAAGCGUGGGGAGCGAA
rnacentral:rRNA from 1 species